GGGCAUCUGGUUGAUGCAGUUCUAUAGUGGGCAUCUGGUUGAUGUGAUACUGGAAUGAGCACUUUAGAUUUGAACAUCACCAACAAGAGAGGAAUAUCAUGAGCAGGAGCUAAAUUAUUGAUCGUGCUGUUUUGAGUGACCAAGUUGUAUGUUGUGUUAGAAGAAUCAAACACUUGAUGUUGAUGGAGAUUUAUGUGGUCUUGCCUGAUGCAAUAAUUUUCAAGAUCUACUAAUAAGAGAUGCUUGUCUAUAUUAAUUUAGGCAGGUCUUUUGAGGCAUUGGUAAUAUAUAGAUCAUUAGCAGAAUGUUUGACGCAAGCUAAUUCUAGUUAUACAAC
rnacentral:misc_RNA from 1 species